ensembl:rRNA 5S_rRNA 5S ribosomal RNA
AGCCAGAGCCAUAUCACCCUGCAGCUCAAGACCGGUUACUCAUUAAAGUUAAGCAGGGCUGAGCCUGGUCCGUACCUGGAUGGGGGACCAGUUGGAAAACUAGGUUGCUGUAGGUA